UAUACGAUUUCUUCCCCUCUUUCCUUACUGAUUCCCUAAAUUUUGGGAUUCAAUAUUUUCCGUUCAAUUUCCCCUUCGCCAUUUUUAAAAUCCUACCGAGGAAUUUAUCUCUCUCGUAUACAUGUACCUAUAUUAUAUGCAAGGGUUCCAUGUUUUUGGCCGCCUUGAUGGUCUGCCUCCAUACGCUAAUUACAGUCAACUUUCUGGCCACCUUCCCAUCCCUGCAUUGGGUUUAAGGAUCCGAAAACGGCACUUCACAUGUGCCCUUUUAUUUUCCAACCCUCUAAUGGCUUAUAGAUCGACCAUCUACAACUCUCCUUCUCUCUGUCUUUAAGAAAAGUUCUAAUCUCAUCCACCAUCACUAUCCUUCACCACGAUCACCAUGAAAUCACCACCAGUCGCAGUCGCCACCAUCCAAAGACACCACAGUCUCACUCUCAACGCAUAUGCAAAAUCAAUCGAGGAGUGACGAUGACGAAGAAUAUAACACUUAUUAGGUAAUGCGAUUUGAUUCUUAACUUCAAUGUUGAUUUCUGAACCCCACAUAUGGCUUCCUUAAAGGUUGCAGAUAAUAAAUGGUUUGAAAAUAACUGCAACCCCUUCCGUUCUCUUUUAUGGUAUGAUUAGCAUUUUCAUCAACGCAUGCCAAAUGCUUGAUAAAAUGCCCCAUUGAAUCAACAUCAGGUCUUCCCUUUGUUUCUUUGUCUCUCCGGUACCGAAACACACAUACACACAUGUCUAUUUAUUUUUCUUUAUUUCUGGAGCAAGGAUUCAGUUUUGGUUUUAAUAGAGUGCAUAAGCGUGAUUUAUUGGAAGUUUUAAUCAGGUCAGUAUCAAGAUGUUCAUGUUGAUUAAAAUAUUUAUCCUUAGUUCCACAUUAAAUCUAGGUAUGGUGUUUAUGUUCUACAAGUUAGAUUUUGACAGGAUGUUGUCAUAAAAACUGUCACACCCCAAAACCGAGAACGGCG